ACAGUGUUAACGUUAAAAAUGUGGAAUAGGAAUACCAUUAGUCCAAAGACUUUGCUAAUUAUAAAGACGAGGCGUUGGAAAUUUAUCCGACUAUUGUGUACGCCUGUACAGCUGUAUUUUGACGUCAUUGGUUAUUUUGGUUGUUUGAGAGUCUAACAAUCGACAUUAAAACCUUAGAUAUUUAACUCAAUUGUGAAUGUUUUGUGCUGAAAUUUAACUCAAAUUAAUGAUAUUAAUUUGUAUUUUAAAAUUGGUUUAAUCAUUUGUUGGAUAUGAGAGUCGUCUGGUGAAUUAUAGCUGAAUUUGUGAUAAAGUUACGCAUCUCUUUUGUAUUAAAAAUAGCCAAUAAUUGUUAGUGAAAAUUUUCAGAUGUUGUCAAAUAUUUUUUCUGAGGUUCUAUGGAAUGGAAUUUCUGGCGAUGAAGAAGAGAGGGGACCAGAAAUUUCAAAUAUUAUAAACGGUUUGUCGGUGCCACUGCCUAGCAAAGUAACAUGUAUGAUACCCAACUGCCAAGCCAACCAAGAAUAGGAGAGUCUGCGUUUACAAUGCCAGCAGAUCCAAAAAGAAAAAAGUUUGGAUGAAGGCUCUUUAAUUGGAUCAUAUGAAUUCCAGAGUGUGAAAAAAACUAAUACACUGUUAAAUAAAUAUUAUGACGUUA